rnacentral:rRNA from 1 species
UGGGGAGCAAACAGGAUAGAUACCUGGUAGUCCACGCGUAACGAUGAGUGCUAAGUGUAGGGGGUUCCCCCUAGUGCUGCAGCUAACGCAUUAAGCACUCCGCUGGGGAGUACGACCGCAAGGUUGAAACUCAAAGGAAUUGACGGGGGCCCGCACAAGCGGUGGAGCAUGUGGUUUAAUUCGAAGCAACGCGAAGAACCUUACCAGGUCUUGACAUCCUUUGACCACUCUAGAGAUAGAGCUUUCCCUUCGGGGACAAAGUGACAGGUGGUGCAUGGUGUCGUCAGCUCGUGUCGUGAGAUGUUGGGUUAAGUCCCGCAACGAGCGCAACCCUUAUUGUUAGUUGCCAUCAUUAAGUUGGGCACUCUAGCGAGACUGCCGGUGACAAACCGGAGGAAGGUGGGGAUGACGUCAAAUCAUCAUGCCCCUUAUGACCUGGGCUACACACGUGCUACAAUGGACAGUACAAUGAGCAGCGACACGGUGACGUGAAGCGAAUCUCAUAAAGCUGUUCUCAGUUCGGAUUGUAGGCUGCAACUCGCCUACAUGAAGCCGGAAUCGCUAGUAAUCGCGGAUCAGCACGCCGCGGUGAAUACGUUCCCGGGCCUUGUACACACCGCCCGUCACACCACGAAAGUUUGUAACACCCGAAGUCGGUGAGGUAACCGCAAGGAGCCAACCGCCUAAGGUGGGAUAGAUGAUUGGGGUGAAGUCGUAACAAGGUAACCAAGGGCGAAUUCUG